CCCGGGAGCGGGGGACCACCAGGUUGCCUAAGGAGGAGUGAACCGGCCCAGGUCGGAAACGGAGCAGGUC
rnacentral:miRNA from 14 species